rnacentral:rRNA from 1 species
AGAGUGAACGCUGGCGGCAGGCCUAACACAUGCAAGUCGAACGGCAGCACAGCAAUAGCAGUACUGUGGGUGGCGAGUGGCGGACGGGUGAGGAAUACAUCGGAAUCUACCUUGUCGUGGGGGAUAACGUAGGGAAACUUACGCUAAUACCGCAUACGAACUAUGGUUGAAAGCGGCGGACCGCAAGGCGUCGCGCGAUUGGAUGAGCCGAUGUCCGAUUAGCUAGUUGGCGGGGUAAAGGCCCACCAAGGCGACGAUCGGUAGCUGGUCUGAGAGGAUGAUCAGCCACACUGGAACUGAGACACGGUCCAGACUCCUACGGGAGGCAGCAGUGGGGAAUAUUGGACAAUGGGGGCAACCCUGAUCCAGCCAAUGCCGCGUGUGUGAAGAAGGCCUCGGGUU